GAAACAGUACUUGUGUUUGAUGUGUUGGGAUGUAUUGUUUCAGUACCUGACAGAACAUGUGAUUCAACAAGAGUCCUGUAGUGAAGACAACAGGCUGUGGACUAAGCCAGAGGGUGUAAUAAUUCAUGUGCUGACACCGAGUGCUUUGAGCAAAGUUGUUUCCAGUCACUUGGAAUUGCAACAGUGUCCACAUCUCCAGUUUCCUACAGAUGCUGCAAAAUGCAUCGCUCCAAGAUGUCACAGAUUCAGGCAGAAAAUGUGCAGCUGACAAAUGAGUUGGUCAGACUCAUGCAAGAGGAGCAGACAAUUUCUGGAUUAUUACAGCUUCCAAGAGCUUCACUGCAAGUGUAAUUUCCUGCAAUAGGAGUAUUGCUGUUGACUUAGUUGGAGACUAGGGGCUAGAGUGAGGUCCUUGGAGGUAGCUGCUGAUCUCUAGGCAUUUGUGUAUUGCUUUCACACACUCCCACAAGAAUCCUGGCUGGUGAAGGAGCCACAGCAUUGUUAAACUCGAGGCAAUGCCAGCCACGUGUUUUAAGAGUGGGUCACAG